UUUUCUACACCACCCAUGGUACACAAAGAAUUUUCAAAGUAGAGGAGAGUCCUAUCAUCAAGAAAGAUGGGUCCUACACCCAUAAAGUGAUCAUUAACAGUAGGUACAAAACCUAAUUGAAGAUCUCUUGAAAGAGGUUUGAUUAGAAAGGAAGCUGAUGGAAUGAUCAUAUCAGGACACUACUCUAGGAAACCAUCUCCUUCUCAUUCCUUUCAUGUUCAAAAAUGAAAUUAGUGAUAAUUAUUUGCAAAGUUAAAGUUCUACUCUUCAUUGGUUUGAGAUAGAAGGUCGGCGAUAUAAUAGGUCACAAAUAUCUUUCAAAGGCUAAUAUAGAGGGUGGCUGUGAAGGACCAUGCCUAAUGCUUUUAGAUUUUUGUCAACAGUAUUAGUUUUUUGCCAUAUCUAGAACUUGUACGUUUAUUUCUUGGUUGGAAUUUGCUUAGACAAGAAGUAUUGUUUAUAUGAUGCUUGAAGAUUUCUGUUUUACCCAAUAAAAAGAAAAAAAGAUUUAUGUUUUCCCUGAAAAAGGCACAAGGAAUAAAAUACAACUUCAUGGCAAAACUAGCCCUAAAAAUUAGUCUGGAAAACUGAUCAGAGCUAGCGGCAGAACCACAGAUUUCAAGUGCGGUUUCACUGCAUUGAGAAGAAUCAACCACCGAAGUCUAGAGCUUCCCCAUUUGAGAGUCAGAGAAAAUUUAGCAUGGUUAGGCAACACAUACAUGUUGCCUUUGGAGUUAUCAAUGAUCCAAAUACAAGAAAGUUAAGCCAAUAGAUUGUAGUGUCAUGGUUGGGAAGAAUUUUUAUAGUAUAGCAACAUCAACCAAUUAAUUGAACAAUAGCGAACGAUUGAUGCAAGUUGAACAACGAAAGCUGGAGAAUAUUAUGCAAGCUGAACAACGAAAGCCGGAGAAUUUGGAUUUACAAGCAGAAACCCAUAUUUGCAACUUAAUGG
rnacentral:lncRNA from 1 species